rnacentral:rRNA from 1 species
UAGCUUUAAGAAAAUAAAAUAAAAUAAAUUUAAAGUUUUACCUGCCCUGUGAUAUUUAUUUAACGGCCGCAGUACUUUGACUGUGCUAAGGUAGCAUAAUAAAUUGGCUUUUAAUUGAGGUCGAGUAUGAAAGGGGUUAUGGGGAGAAACUGUCUCUAAAAAAAUUAUAUAAAACUUACUUAAUAGGUGAAAAUACCUAUAAUUUUACUUUAGACGAGAAGACCCUAAGAAUUAUAAUUAUAGGUACUAUAUUGUUCCUUCGUUUUUGUUGGGGCAACAUUGUUAGGAAAUAACCAACACUAUAAAAAAUUUAUACGACUUUUUUAACCAGAAAAAUAUAAAUUACCUUAGGGAUAACAGCAUAAUUAUUUUAAUAGAUUGUGACCUCGAUGUUGGACUAGGGACUUUAAUUAUUAACCAUUAUUAAAGAUAGUUCUGUUCGAACUGUAAUACACU